rnacentral:tRNA from 1 species
CCUUUUGUAGUUUUGAGCUACAGAGAAUUGGUGCGUAAAACCAAAGGUCCCGGGUUCGAUUCCCGGCAAAGGUG